rnacentral:tRNA from 1 species
CAGAGCGUAGUCAAAAUAGAAAAACGUCUCCCUUACACUGAGAAGUCGCCCGUGCAAAUCGGGUCGCCCUGA